UCAAGUAAUUAAGUGCAUGUGGUGGAUGCCUUGGCAGUCAGAGGCGAUGAAAGACGUGAUAGCCUGCGAAAAGCUCCGGGGAGGCGGCAAAUAUCCUUUGAUCCGGAGAUGUCUGAAUGGGGGAACCCACCUACUUUAAGGUAGGUAUUGCAACAUGAAUACAUAGUGUUGCAAGGCGAACGAGGGGAAGUGAAACAUCUCAGUACCCUUAGGAAAAGAAAUCAAUUGAGAUUCCCUCAGUAGCGGCGAGCGAACGGGGAUCAGCCCAUUAAGUUAUGUGUGUUUUAGUGGAACGCUCUGGGAAGUGCGAACGUAGAGGGUGAUAUUCCCGUACACGAAAGGGCACACAUAAUGAUGACGAGUAGGGCGAGGCACGUGAAACCUUGUCUGAAUAUGGGGGGACCAUCCUCCAAGGCUAAAUACUCCUGACUGACCGAUAGUGAACCAGUACCGUGAGGGAAAGGCGAAAAGAACCCCUGUGAGGGGAGUGAAAUAGAUCCUGAAACCGCAUGCAUACAAGCAGUGGGAGCACCUUCGUGGUGUGACUGCGUACCUUUUGUAUAAUGGGUCAGCGACUUAUAUUCAGUAGCAAGGUUAACCGUAUAGGGGAGCCGUAGAGAAAUCGAGUCUUAAUAGGGCGUUUAGUUGCUGGGUAUAGACCCGAAACCAGGCGAUCUAUCCAUGAGCAGGUUGAAGGUUGGGUAACACUAACUGGAGGACCGAACCCACUGUCGUUGAAAAGCCAGGGGAUGACUUGUGGAUAGGGGUGAAAGGCUAAUCAAGCCUGGUGAUAGCUGGUUCUCCCCGAAAGCUAUUUAGGUAGCGCCUCGGACGAAUACCAUAGGGGGUAGAGCACUGUUUCGGCUAGGGGGUCAUCCCGACUUACCAAACCGAUGCAAACUCCGAAUACCUAUGAGUACUAUCCGGGAGACAGACUGCGGGUGCUAACGUCCGUAGUCAAGAGGAAAACAAUCCAGACCGCCAGCUAAGGCCCCAAAAUCAUAGUUAAGUGGGAAACGAUGUGGGAAGGCAUAGACAGCUAGGAGGUUGGCUUAGAAGCAGCCACCCUUUAAAGAAAGCGUAAUAGCUCACUAGUCGAGUCGGCCUGCGCGGAAGAUGUAACGGGGCUAAAACUAUGUGCCGAAGCUGCGGAUGUAUACUUUGUAUACGUGGUAGGGGAGCGUUCUGUAAGCCGAUGAAGGUGUGUUGAGAAGCAUGCUGGAGGUAUCAGAAGUGCGAAUGCUGACGUGAGUAACGACAAAACGGGUGAAAAACCCGUUCGCCGAAAGACCAAGGGUUCCAGUCCAACGUUAAUCGGGGCUGGGUGAGUCGACCCCUAAGGCGAGGCCGAAAGGCGUAGUCGAUGGGAAAAUGGUUAAUAUUCCAUUACUUCUGUGUAAUGCGAUGAGAGGACGGAGAAGGCUAAAUCAGCCUGGCGUUGGUUGUCCAGGUGAAAGGAUGUAGGCAUGUAUCUUAGGCAAAUCCGGGGUACUCUAUGCUGAGAUCUGAUAGCAAGCUGUACUUGUACAGCGAAGUGGUUGAUGCCAUGCUUCCAGGAAAAGUCUCUAAGCUUCAGUUACACAGGAAUCGUACCCGAAACCGACACAGGUGGUCAGGUCGAGUAGACCAAGGCGCUUGAGAGAACUCUGCUGAAGGAACUAGGCAAAAUGGUACCGUAACUUCGGGAGAAGGUACGCUGUUGUUGGUGAUGGAACUUGCUUCCUGAGCUGACGACAGCCGCAGAAACCAGGCCGCUGCAACUGUUUAUUAAAAACAUAGCACUCUGCAAACACGAAAGUGGACGUAUAGGGUGUGAUGCCUGCCCGGUGCUGGAAGGUUAAUUGAUGGGGUUAGCGUAAGCGAAGCUCUUGAUCGAAGCCCCAGUAAACGGCGGCCGUAACUAUAACGGUCCUAAGGUAGCGAAAUUCCUUGUCGGGUAAGUUCCGACCUGCACGAAUGGCAUAAUGAUGGCGGCGCUGUCUCCAGCAGAGGCUCAGUGAAAUCGAAAUCGCUGUGAAGAUGCAGUGUACCCGCGGCUAGACGGAAAGACCCCGUGAACCUUUACUGCAGCUUGACACUGAACUUUGACCUUACUUGUGUAGGAUAGGUGGGAGGCUUUGAAGCUGGAACGCUAGUUCCAGUGGAGCCGUCCUUGAAAUACCACCCUGGUAAUGUUGAGGUUCUAACUCUGUCCCGUGAUCCGGGACGAGGACCGUGUCUGGUGGGUAGUUUGACUGGGGCGGUCUCCUCCUAAAGAGUAACGGAGGAGUACGAAGGUGCGCUCAGCGUGGUCGGAAAUCACGCGUAGAGUAUAAAGGCAAAAGCGCGCUUAACUGCGAGACCCACAAGUCGAGCAGGUACGAAAGUAGGUCUUAGUGAUCCGGUGGUUCUGUAUGGAAGGGCCAUCGCUCAACGGAUAAAAGGUACUCUGGGGAUAACAGGCUGAUACCGCCCAAGAGUUCAUAUCGACGGCGGUGUUUGGCACCUCGAUGUCGGCUCAUCUCAUCCUGGGGCUGAAGCAGGUCCCAAGGGUAUGGCUGUUCGCCAUUUAAAGAGGUACGCGAGCUGGGUUUAGAACGUCGUGAGACAGUUCGGUCCCUAUCUACCGUGGGCGCUGGAAAUUUGAGAGGAUCUGCUCCUAGUACGAGAGGACCAGAGUGGACGAACCUCUGGUGUACCGGUUGUGACGCCAGUCGCAUCGCCGGGUAGCUAUGUUCGGAAGGGAUAACCGCUGAAAGCAUCUAAGCGGGAAGCCUACCUCAAGAUAAGAUUUCCCUAGGACUUUAUGUCCUCUAAAGAGCCGUUCGAGACUAGGACGUUGAUAGGUUGGAUGUGGAAGCAUAGUGAUAUGUGAAGCUGACCAAUACUAAUUGCUCGUGAGGCUUGACUAU
rnacentral:rRNA from 1 species